rnacentral:rRNA from 1 species
UAGAUGCGAGAGUAGAGCAUAUCAAUAAGCGGAGGAAAAGGCUGCGGACUGACCUGCUACCUACGCUUAGGAUGUUGACGAGACUGUCGAUCUCAUCUAUACAUGACUCUGUGCAUAUCAAUAAGCGGAGGAAAAGAAACUAACAAGGAUUCCCUUAGUAACGGCGAGUGAAGCGGGAAGAGCUCAAAUUUGAAAUCUUCAAGGUUCUACCUUGACGAAUUGUAGUUUAAAGAAGUGUUUUCUGUUAGAUGAGUAGCAAAAGUUCCUUGGAAUGGGACAUCAUAGAGGGUGAGAAUCCCGUAUUUGGUUAUUCAUUCUAGCUUUGUGAUACACUUUCAAAGAGUCGGAUUGUUUGGGAAUGCAGUCCAAAAUGGGUGGUAAAUUUCAUCUAAAGCUAAAUAUUGGCGAGAGACCGAUAGCGAACAAGUACCGUGAGGGAAAGAUGAAAAGAACUUUGAAAAGAGAGUUAAACAGUACGUGAAAUUGUCAAAAGGGAAGCGUUUGACACCAGUGUUGUUUUUCUCGAAAAUCAAUUACGAAUGGCUUGAUGUUGUGUUGUAUUGACCUUAUCAGCUUUCUGCACUUUUUUUCGAGUCUUUCUUAAUGCACUUUUCGGUUAACAAGUCAACAUCAAUUUCUUUUGUUGUAAAAGAGUAUUCGGAAGGUGGCUUUCUUUUCGGAGAAAGUGUUUAUAGCCCUAUACUUCUACAAUCGGAGAGAUUGAGGUCUGCAGCGUAGAUCCUUCGGGGUUAGAUACAUUUGUGCUAAGUUGUAGCUUUUCAUAGACAACUUGUUGACUAUGUUUAGUCAUGCGGCUUACUCGCUUAUGCUAUCUUUACCUACGCUUAGGAUGUUGAGCGCAUGUCUCUCUCU